UCACUCUGGUUUUCCUUCAUAUCGAGUAAAUCUUUCGCCUUUUACUAAAGAUUUCCGGGAGGAGAGCACUGAAAUGAG
rnacentral:snRNA from 1 species